UACGGAGGGAGCAAGCGUUACUCGGAAUUAUUGGGCGUAAAGGGCGCGUAGGCGAUUUGAAAAGUCUUGUGUGAAAGCCCCGAGCUUAACUCGGGAAGUGCACAAGAAACUGUUGAAUUUGAGUUCCGGAGAGGAAGGCAGAAUUCCCGGUGUAGCGGUGAAAUGCGUAGAGAUCGGCAGGAACACCCAGGGGGAAACCAGUCGACUGGGCAUCUACUGACGCUGAGGUGCGAGAGCGUGGGGAGCGAACCGG
rnacentral:rRNA from 1 species